rnacentral:rRNA from 1 species
UAAAUUUAGAGUUUGAUCCUGGCUCAGGACGAACGCUGGCGGCGUGCUUAACACAUGCAAGUCGAGCGAUGAAGCUUCCUUCGGGAAGUGGAUUAGCGGCGGACGGGUGAGUAACACGUGGGUAACCUGCCUCAAAGUGGGGGAUAGCCUUCCGAAAGGAAGAUUAAUACCGCAUAAUAUAAGAGAAUCGCAUGAUUUUCUUAUCAAAGAUUUAUUGCUUUGAGAUGGACCCGCGGCGCAUUAGCUAGUUGGUAUGGUAACGGCUUACCAAGGCAACGAUGCGUAGCCGACCUGAGAGGGUGAUCGGCCACAUUGGAACUGAGACACGGUCCAGACUCCUACGGGAGGCAGCAGUGGGGAAUAUUGCGCAAUGGGGGAAACCCUGACGCAGCAACGCCGCGUGGGUGAUGAAGGUCUUCGGAUUGUAAAGCCCUGUUUUCUAGGACGAUAAUGACGGUACUAGAGGAGGAAGCCACGGCUAACUACGUGCCAGCAGCCGCGGUAAUACGUAGGUGGCGAGCGUUGUCCGGAUUUACUGGGCGUAAAGGGUGCGUAGGCGGAUGUUUAAGUGGGAUGUGAAAUCCCCGGGCUUAACCUGGGGGCUGCAUUCCAAACUGGAUAUCUAGAGUGCAGGAGAGGAAAGCGGAAUUCCUAGUGUAGCGGUGAAAUGCGUAGAGAUUAGGAAGAACACCAGUGGCGAAGGCGGCUUUCUGGACUGUAACUGACGCUGAGGCACGAAAGCGUGGGUAGCAAACAGGAUUAGAUACCCUGGUAGUCCACGCCGUAAACGAUGGAUACUAGGUGUAGGGGGUAUCAACUCCCCCUGUGCCGCAGUUAACACAAUAAGUAUCCCGCCUGGGGAGUACGGUCGCAAGAUUAAAACUCAAAGGAAUUGACGGGGGCCCGCACAAGCAGCGGAGCAUGUGGUUUAAUUCGAAGCAACGCGAAGAACCUUACCUGGACUUGACAUCCCUUGCAUAGCCUAGAGAUAGGUGAAGCCCUUCGGGGCAAGGAGACAGGUGGUGCAUGGUUGUCGUCAGCUCGUGUCGUGAGAUGUUAGGUUAAGUCCUGCAACGAGCGCAACCCUUGUUAUUAGUUGCUACCAUUAAGUUGAGCACUCUAAUGAGACUGCCUGGGUAACCAGGAGGAAGGUGGGGAUGACGUCAAAUCAUCAUGCCCCUUAUGUCCAGGGCUACACACGUGCUACAAUGGUAGGUACAAUAAGACGCAAGACCGUGAGGUGGAGCAAAACUUAUAAAACCUAUCUCAGUUCGGAUUGUAGGCUGCAACUCGCCUACAUGAAGCUGGAGUUGCUAGUAAUCGCGAAUCAGAAUGUCGCGGUGAAUACGUUCCCGGGCCUUGUACACACCGCCCGUCACACCAUGAGAGCUGGUAACACCCGAAGUCCGUGAGGUAACCGUAAGGAGCCAGCGGCCGAAGGUGGGAUUAGUGAUUGGGGUGAAGUCGUAACAAGGUAGCCGUAGGAGAACCUGCGGCUGGAUCACCUCCUUU